GAUCACUUUUCUCUACAACUAAGCAAAAUCAUUUCAAUUAGGAGAAUUUAUAUUUGUGCAUUAUAAAAAUUGGACCCUGAUCAGCAAGCCUGCCAGUUACAAUGUAAAUGUAAGAAAUUGCUGAUUGGGCACUGGCCUUUCACUAAUCGCUUUUGCAAUUCUUUAAACCUUUAUUAUUAUUAUUUGCUAACAAAAUUUAUAUGGAAUGUGUUGCAUGACAGAUAACCAACAUGGAGGAAGCCCUUAUCCUAGAAGUGUAGGAAAAUCCAAUCCUGUAUGACAAGAGAUUGGAGAUGUUCAAGGAUACAGAAGUAAAAAAAUGAUGUAUGACAUGACAUUGGGCGUCAGCUUGUAAUCUCAGGUGACGUAGCGAGUUGAGGGACAACUUCCUAAAAAACGACAGAAAUGGAGAGGAAGAGUGGUGACGGAGCUCCCUCAAAUGCAGCACGUAAAUACAAGUACAGUGAGGCAAUGGAAUUCCUACUUCCCCACAUACAUAAUCGAGACAGAACAAGUUCAAUCUUGGAUCCUGUGUUUGAUGUGGACACACCAGGAGAAGCCUGUACCAAGCAGGAAGAAACUGAGCAGGAGAAUGGUGGGUGACAUCUGUCCACAACGUGGGUCAGUCUUCCUCGUCAUCAUCCUCAGGCACGUCCGCAACAUCAGUCCAGUCUUCAAGUCCCAACUUCACUUCAAAUCGAGGACACAAUGUUGCAGUAUUUUCAAAGCACUGAUAGUCAUGGUGACAACAUAACUGUAGAUAAAUUUUUCUCCAGCUUGUUCCCCAUUGUCCCACACUGUAAAAGUUACCUCAAUGCCAGCUCCAUUGCUAUGAGGUUAAAUUUCGGUCGUCUGAACAUUGAACAUACUACUAUAGGAAUUAAAUUUUUUGUGUCAUCUAACUCCAAGUCGAUUCUUAUUGAUGUUAUAAACAUCUCACAAUUUAAGAAUCCAAAUAUGUUUCGUUGAUUAAAAAAAAAGUUAACGGAAAAUGCUCUAACUUGCUAUGCUCCACCGCUAAAAAGAGAGCUGAUAUCUUAUUCCCUCUGACCAUGGAGCUAAUAGCUCUAUGCUCUGACAUCACUCAAUACUCUUUCGAUUGUAACAUAAAAGAUGCAAUGUCAGACAUGCAGCAUCACCAACAAAUUAAAAGCGGUGUAUAUAUGAUUACAUCUGAAUUACUUAUGAUAAAUCCAUAUGAAAUAAAUCAUUUGCAGGAAAUCUACAACUUUAAUGACUGAUAUCGUAUUAUAAACAACGACACUAUUAAAUGUGUUAUUCUAAUUUCCACUUGAAUUUUUCACUUUGACAUCUCCAUAGGCAGCGGAAGCGGGGACAGGCCCCCCCCCCCCCCUAAAUUUUUAGUUGAUAACCUUUUUUUUAUUUUUUGGCUUCCACCGCCAAUGUACAUCUCCCAUUGUUACAGUUGCAAGUCAGUCUCAAUUUGCAGAAAUUACGAUUGUGAAGGAUUAUGAUCUUCCUCUUUUGUAGAUCUGGAAAAUAUCGUCUGAGCAUGUUCAACAUUUAUUAAAAAUAUAUUUAUUUCUUAAAUUAUACUUGAAUUUAAAUUCAGGAUUUGUUCACAGAUAAGAGAAGUUGAGCAUUUUGCACAUCACAGAAAUUUGGUUCAUGCAAAUACAUGUAUUAACAUGAUCACUAGUAAUGCACUAUCAAAUAUCAAUACAUGAAACCAGUUACUGUGAAAAUAAAAAUGAUGGGUACUGGACGGAACGUUUCUGGACUAAUGUUUUAUUUUGGAAAUAGAGAUCUAGGAUUGUUUGAAAUAUGACAAAAUGUUAGAAACAAAAUUUCAUCUCUAAACAGAAUGGCAAUGACACUCCUGUUGCCUGUUUCAUAGAGAGGUACAACUAUCAUAACUUUGUCUUUAAUAUGGCGCAACAUCCAAUUAUAAUUGUGGUUUCCAUGGUAGUUGCCAUAAUGUUAAAGUACUUUUGAAAUGGGCCCCUGGACAUGAAGAAUACUGACAAAAGAAAGUUGAUUGUGAAAUAAAAAGAAUACAUUCAUCUUCAAGAAAUUUUUUGACGCCCCAUGCAUUUUUUGUUGUUUAUAUAUCUCGUAUUAUUUUUUUCUGUAAUAAAUUAAUGAGCAUCACUUUUUUUUCAACAACAAAUAUAAUGUAGAUUGCUGAAGAACCUAAAAUAUAUUUGGAGCUGAACUAAACUCAAAAUAAAGAUGUCGACAAAAUGAAGUCCAGUGUUGCUCUUAUUUAUUGGGCCAGACCUCACUU